rnacentral:rRNA from 2 species
UUAAGCGACUAAGCGUACACGGUGGAUGCCCUGGCAGUCAGAGGCGAUGAAGGACGUGCUAAUCUGCGAUAAGCGUCGGUAAGGUGAUAUGAACCGUUAUAACCGGCGAUUUCCGAAUGGGGAAACCCAGUGUGUUUCGACACACUAUCAUUAACUGAAUCCAUAGGUUAAUGAGGCGAACCGGGGGAACUGAAACAUCUAAGUACCCCGAGGAAAAGAAAUCAACCGAGAUUCCCCCAGUAGCGGCGAGCGAACGGGGAGCAGCCCAGAGCCUGAAUCAGUGUGUGUGUUAGUGGAAGCGUCUGGAAAGGCGCGCGAUACAGGGUGACAGCCCCGUACACAAAAAUACACAUACUGUGAGCUCGAUGAGUAGGGCGGGACACGUGGUAUCCUGUCUGAAUAUGGGGGGACCAUCCUCCAAGGCUAAAUACUCCUGACUGACCGAUAGUGAACCAGUACCGUGAGGGAAAGGCGAAAAGAACCCCGGCGAGGGGAGUGAAAAAGAACCUGAAACCGUGUACGUACAAGCAGUGGGAGCACAGAGCAAUCUGUGUGACUGCGUACCUUUUGUAUAAUGGGUCAGCGACUUAUAUUCUGUAGCAAGGUUAACCGAAUAGGGGAGCCGAAGGGAAACCGAGUCUUAACUGGGCGUUAAGUUGCAGGGUAUAGACCCGAAACCCGGUGAUCUAGCCAUGGGCAGGUUGAAGGUUGGGUAACACUAACUGGAGGACCGAACCGACUAAUGUUGAAAAAUUAGCGGAUGACUUGUGGCUGGGGGUGAAAGGCCAAUCAAACCGGGAGAUAGCUGGUUCUCCCCGAAAGCUAUUUAGGUAGCGCCUCGUGAAUUCAUCUCCGGGGGUAGAGCACUGUUUCGGCAAGGGGGUCAUCCCGACUUACCAACCCGAUGCAAACUGCGAAUACCGGAGAAUGUUAUCACGGGAGACACACGGCGGGUGCUAACGUCCGUCGUGAAGAGGGAAACAACCCAGACCGCCAGCUAAGGUCCCAAAGUCAUGGUUAAGUGGGAAACGAUGUGGGAAGGCCCAGACAGCCAGGAUGUUGGCUUAGAAGCAGCCAUCAUUUAAAGAAAGCGUAAUAGCUCACUGGUCGAGUCGGCCUGCGCGGAAGAUGUAACGGGGCUAAACCAUGCACCGAAGCUGCGGCAGCGACGCUUAUGCGUUGUUGGGUAGGGGAGCGUUCUGUAAGCCUGCGAAGGUGUGCUGUGAGGCAUGCUGGAGGUAUCAGAAGUGCGAAUGCUGACAUAAGUAACGAUAAAGCGGGUGAAAAGCCCGCUCGCCGGAAGACCAAGGGUUCCUGUCCAACGUUAAUCGGGGCAGGGUGAGUCGACCCCUAAGGCGAGGCCGAAAGGCGUAGUCGAUGGGAAACAGGUUAAUAUUCCUGUACUUGGUGUUACUGCGAAGGGGGGACGGAGAAGGCUAUGUUGGCCGGGCGACGGUUGUCCCGGUUUAAGCGUGUAGGCUGGUUUUCCAGGCAAAUCCGGAAAAUCAAGGCUGAGGCGUGAUGACGAGGCACUACGGUGCUGAAGCAACAAAUGCCCUGCUUCCAGGAAAAGCCUCUAAGCAUCAGGUAACAUCAAAUCGUACCCCAAACCGACACAGGUGGUCAGGUAGAGAAUACCAAGGCGCUUGAGAGAACUCGGGUGAAGGAACUAGGCAAAAUGGUGCCGUAACUUCGGGAGAAGGCACGCUGAUAUGUAGGUGAAGUCCCUCGCGGAUGGAGCUGAAAUCAGUCGAAGAUACCAGCUGGCUGCAACUGUUUAUUAAAAACACAGCACUGUGCAAACACGAAAGUGGACGUAUACGGUGUGACGCCUGCCCGGUGCCGGAAGGUUAAUUGAUGGGGUCAGCGCAAGCGAAGCUCUUGAUCGAAGCCCCGGUAAACGGCGGCCGUAACUAUAACGGUCCUAAGGUAGCGAAAUUCCUUGUCGGGUAAGUUCCGACCUGCACGAAUGGCGUAAUGAUGGCCAGGCUGUCUCCACCCGAGACUCAGUGAAAUUGAACUCGCUGUGAAGAUGCAGUGUACCCGCGGCAAGACGGAAAGACCCCGUGAACCUUUACUAUAGCUUGACACUGAACAUUGAGCCUUGAUGUGUAGGAUAGGUGGGAGGCUUUGAAGUGUGGACGCCAGUCUGCAUGGAGCCGACCUUGAAAUACCACCCUUUAAUGUUUGAUGUUCUAACGUUGACCCGUGAUCCGGGUUGCGGACAGUGUCUGGUGGGUAGUUUGACUGGGGCGGUCUCCUCCUAAAGAGUAACGGAGGAGCACGAAGGUUGGCUAAUCCUGGUCGGACAUCAGGAGGUUAGUGCAAUGGCAUAAGCCAGCUUGACUGCGAGCGUGACGGCGCGAGCAGGUGCGAAAGCAGGUCAUAGUGAUCCGGUGGUUCUGAAUGGAAGGGCCAUCGCUCAACGGAUAAAAGGUACUCCGGGGAUAACAGGCUGAUACCGCCCAAGAGUUCAUAUCGACGGCGGUGUUUGGCACCUCGAUGUCGGCUCAUCACAUCCUGGGGCUGAAGUAGGUCCCAAGGGUAUGGCUGUUCGCCAUUUAAAGUGGUACGCGAGCUGGGUUUAGAACGUCGUGAGACAGUUCGGUCCCUAUCUGCCGUGGGCGCUGGAGAACUGAGGGGGGCUGCUCCUAGUACGAGAGGACCGGAGUGGACGCAUCACUGGUGUUCGGGUUGUCAUGCCAAUGGCACUGCCCGGUAGCUAAAUGCGGAAGAGAUAAGUGCUGAAAGCAUCUAAGCACGAAACUUGCCCCGAGAUGAGUUCUCCCUGACUCCUUGAGAGUCCUGAAGGAACGUUGAAGACGACGACGUUGAUAGGCCGGGUGUGUAAGCGCAGCGAUGCGUUGAGCUAACCGGUACUAAUGAACCGUGAGGCUUAACCUU